GCUGAUGCGUUGUUGGGUAGGGGAGCGUUCUGUAAGCCUGCGAAGGUGGCCUGUGAGGGUUGCUGGAGGUAUCAGAAGUGCGAAUGCUGACAUAAGUAACGAUAAAGCGGGUGAAAAGCCCGCUCGCCGGAAGACCAAGGGUUCCUGUCCAACGUUAAUCGGGGCAGGGUGAGUCGACCCCUAAGGCGAGGCCGAAAGGCGUAGUCGAUGGGAAACGGGUUAAUAUUCCCGUACUUGGUGUUACUGCGAAGGGGGGACGGAGAAGGCUAUGUUGGCCGGGCGACGGUUGUCCCGGUUUAAGCGUGUAGGCUGGUUUUCCAGGCAAAUCCGGAAAAUCAAGGCUGAGGCGUGACGACGAGGCACUACGGUGCUGAAGCAACAAAUGCCCUGCUUCCAGGAAAAGCCUCUAAGCAUCAGGUAACAUCAAAUCGUACCCCAAACCGACACAGGUGGUCAGGUAGAGAAUACCAAGGCGCUUGAGAGAACUCGGGUGAAGGAACUAGGCAAAAUGGUGCCGUAACUUCGGGAGAAGGCACGCUGACAUGUAGGUGAAGUGAUUUACUCAUGGAGCUGAAGUCAGUCGAAGAUACCAGCUGGCUGCAACUGUUUAUUAAAAACACAGCACUGUGCAAACACGAAAGUGGACGUAUACGGUGUGACGCCUGCCCGGUGCCGGAAGGUUAAUUGAUGGGGUCAGCGCAAGCGAAGCUCCUGAUCGAAGCCCCGGUAAACGGCGGCCGUAACUAUAACGGUCCUAAGGUAGCGAAAUUCCUUGUCGGGUAAGUUCCGACCUGCACGAAUGGCGUAAUGAUGGCCAGGCUGUCUCCACCCGAGACUCAGUGAAAUUGAACUCGCUGUGAAGAUGCAGUGUACCCGCGGCAAGACGGAAAGACCCCGUGAACCUUUACUAUAGCUUGACACUGAACAUUGAGCCUUGAUGUGUAGGAUAGGUGGGAGGCUUUGAAGCGUGGACGCCAGUCUGCGUGGAGCCGACCUUGAAAUACCACCCUUUAAUGUUUGAUGUUCUAACGUGGACCCGUUACCCGGGUUGCGGACAGUGUCUGGUGGGUAGUUUGACUGGGGCGGUCUCCUCCUAAAGAGUAACGGAGGAGCACGAAGGUUGGCUAAUCCUGGUCGGACAUCAGGAGGUUAGUGCAAUGGCAUAAGCCAGCUUGACUGCGAGCGUGACGGCGCGAGCAGGUGCGAAAGCAGGUCAUAGUGAUCCGGUGGUUCUGAAUGGAAGGGCCAUCGCUCAACGGAUAAAAGGUACUCCGGGGAUAACAGGCUGAUACCGCCCAAGAGUUCAUAUCGACGGCGGUGUUUGGCACCUCGAUGUCGGCUCAUCACAUCCUGGGGCUGAAGUAGGUCCCAAGGGUAUGGCUGUUCGCCAUUUAAAGUGGUACGCGAGCUGGGUUUAGAACGUCGUGAGACAGUUCGGUCCCUAUCUGCCGUGGGCGCUGGAGAACUGAGGGGGGCUGCUCCUAGUACGAGAGGACCGGAGUGGACGCAUCACUGGUGUUCGGGUUGUCAUGCCAAUGGCACUGCCCGGUAGCUAAAUGCGGAAGAGAUAAGUGCUGAAAGCAUCUAAGCACGAAACUUGCCCCGA
rnacentral:rRNA from 1 species